UACGUAGGUGGCGAGCGUUAUCCGGAAUUAUUGGGCGUAAAGAGGGAGCAGGCGGCGGCAGAGGUCUGUGGUGAAAGAAUGAAGCUUAACUUCAGUAAGCCAUAGAAACCGGGCUGCUAGAGUACAGGAGAGGAUCGUGGAAUUCCAUGUGUAGCGGUGAAAUGCGUAGAUAUAUGGAGGAACACCAGUGGCGAAGGCGACGGUCUGGCCUGUAACUGACGCUCAUUCCCGAAAGCGUGGGGAGCAAAUAGG
rnacentral:rRNA from 1 species